rnacentral:rRNA from 1 species
AUGCAAGGAAGCAACAAGCUGAACUCUGGCUCCAGCUGCAAUGACAAGCCUCCAAAAGUCAAUUGGCCACAUCAUGCAAAUGCUAUACAAAGCUCCCUUAGCAAAGAUGACUUUCUGAGUUCAAGCUUUCUGUUCUCUUUACCAACACAAAGGGCAAAUCCAGAAGCGAACUGCAAUACAAUGCUUUCUUUAAGGUCCGCUGCUUGUAAAAUUCAAGGCCCAGAACGCCUUCAAGUUCCAUGGAUCGAGAAGGCCUGGCGUUCUGUGUGUAACACCCAGGUGACCUGUAAGAAUUAUUUAAGACCUGGUUUAUCUGCAAAGGUGAAAGAUUGUGGCAGGGAUUUUUCUCCUAUUUAUGCAACAAAUUCUUCAUAUAAUGCCAACAAAUCGGAUAAUGUGCCGAAAAGUACAAUUCCCUCUCAGGAAAGUCUGCAUCACCGCACUGAAAGUGGUGUCCUGGAGCAAAAUAACAGCCAUCGGCUGGCAAGCACCUGUACAACGGUUUACCAGAGCAACCAUGUGGUUGGAACAACAUAUCAGAGCAGUUUUGCCAGAACUGAUGCUAUGUCAUGCCAGACUGUUCCUGUUGCUGAUAACAUGUGUGCUGAUGAUAAGUUAGAUGCCAUGGAUGAUGACGAGAUUCUGGCGAGUAUUGAUGUGGACCGCAUAGUUAUGGAACAUUAUGAAGCAACAAAUACACCCAGAGGGUUAGCAUCCCGGCAAAUGUCAACUCCAUCAGGAAACAAGUGUAACUUCACAGGUUCAGAUGAUAAUAGUUUACCACAAGAACUCUCUGAAAUUUGUAGUCAUGGUUACAAGCUAGCUUUUUGCCCAGAGCUGAAUUAUCAUUUGCAAGGGAUGAAGGAUCAGUUGAUUGCAGUAUCCAAUAAACUUCUUGAUGGUUCUGGAGAACUCAAUCCUCAACAUUCUGAAGAGCUUCGUCAACAGCGUGCACAUCUAAAUAAACAGAUCCAGAUACUUGGGGAUUAUAUGGCGAGGCCAACCCAAGACGAUGAGCGGCAGAGAUCACACUCUAUGGCCUCCACAACAGCUGCAGAAGGGCAUCACCCCCCUAUGACCCCAAGCACUUUUGUGGACAAUAAUAGAUCCCAAUCUCAGUUUUAUGAUAUGAAUGCACCCUGGGACGGUGGUUCAUGCUAUACUCCUGCUCCAUGUACCUACAUGGAUAGUAACAUACCGUUAACAUCAGUGCAGAGAGAUUACACCCGUAGAAAUAUAGAUAUUAGCUACACCGACGGUUCUGGUGAUAAGAAGUGGAGCAGCACAGAUUUUCCAUGGACCAAGGAACUUGAGGUCCACAACAAGAGAGUAUUUGGAAACCGUUCUUUCCGCCCAAAUCAGCGAGAAAUAAUUAAUGCCACAAUGAAUGGUAGUGAUGUUUUUGUUUUGAUGCCAACUGGUGGUGGAAAAAGUUUGACCUACCAGCUUCCAGCUCUCAUUGAUGAGGGCAUAACGCUAGUAGUUUGUCCUCUUGUUUCACUCAUCCAGGACCAGAUCAUGCAUUUAUCACAGGCAAAUAUUCCUGCAACUUACCUCAGUGCCAACCUGGAAUGGACAGAGCAGCAGAGAAUAUUAAGAGAUCUAAUGUCUCCUACAUCUACAUGCAACUAUAAGCUACUAUAUGUUACUCCAGAAAAAAUAGCGAAGAGUGAUGCUCUACUGAGACAAUUGGAAAUUUUAUAUUCACGAGGUUAUCUUUCCAGAAUUGUUAUUGAUGAAGCUCAUUGUGUAAGCCAGUGGGGCCAUGAUUUCCGACCUGAUUACCAGCAUUUAGGUCUCUUAAAACAAAAGUUCCCAGAGACACCAGUCCUGGCCUUGACAGCAACAGCAACUGCGAGUGUUAAGGAAGAUGUUGUGCAAGCUCUAGGCCUCGCAAACUGUGUUGUUUUCAAACAGAGUUUUAAUCGUCCCAAUCUGAGGUAUAUUGUGAUGCCCAAGACAAAGAAAUGUCUCGAGGAUAUAGAUUGCUUUAUCCGCGAAAAUCAUCCUAAAGAAUGCGGCAUCAUAUAUUGCCUUUCAAGAAUGGACUGUGAAAAAGUGGCCGAAAAACUGAGGGAAUAUGGGCACCAAGCAUCACACUAUCAUGGUAACAUGGAGCCUUCUGAUAGAGCAGCUGUUCAGAGGCUAUGGAGUAUGGAUAAGAUAAACAUAAUCUGUGCUACAGUUGCAUUUGGGAUGGGUAUCAAUAAACCCGAUGUCCGUUUUGUUAUUCAUCAUUCCCUUCCUAAAUCAAUUGAAGGGUACCAUCAGGAGUGUGGACGUGCUGGUAGAGAUGGACAGCGCUCAUCUUGUGUACUGUAUUAUAACUAUUCUGACUAUAUUCGUGUCAAACACAUGAUCACACAAGGAUCUGCAGAGCAAGUAAGAUCAAGCUCUUCGUCCUCACAUGGGCAAGCACUUGCAACACACAAGGAGAAUCUCUUGUGCAUGGUUAGUUACUGCGAAAAUGAUGUGGAUUGCAGACGUUUACUACAACUGAUCCACUUUGGAGAGACAUUUGAUCCAUCACAUUGUUCAAAAACAUGUGAUAAUUGCAAGAAAGGAUUGAGAUGGAUUGAGAAAGAUGUGACCAAUAUUGCUAAGCAAUUGGUUGAGCUGGUCUUGACGACAAGGCAGUCAUGUUCGAGUUCUCACAUUCUUGAAGUUUACAGGGGUUCCUUGAACCAAAAUGUCAAGAAGAACCAUCAUGAUAUUUUGCCUCUUCAUGGGGCUGGGAAGAAUCUAGCUAAAGGCGAGGCAGCAAGGGUACUGCGGCAUCUAGUAACUGAGGGAAUACUCACUGAGGAUGUCAAAAAGAGUGAUACGUAUGGAUCAGUAUCAUCUGUUUUAAAGGCGAAUCAGGUUAAAGUUGGUGGUCUUCGCUCUGGCAAACAGAUCGUCCUUAAGUUUCCCACUGCUGACAAAGCCCCGAAGAUGGGGAAACUUGAUGAAUCAUCAAUCUCACAAGUCAAUAAGACUGUUCAACGGCAGAGUGAAAUGGAUGAGAAUUUUUCAUCGCUGCUCUAUGAAACUUUAAGAAUCCUUAGGUCUCAGAUAGCGGAGGGUACUGCAGGAUGUGGUGUACACCACAUAUUUAAAAAUGAAACACUGAAGGAAAUUAGCACUCGGAUACCAAGGACAAAAGAAGAACUUUUGGAGAUAAAUGGCAUCGGCAAGGUGAAGCUCAACAAGUACGGGGAUCGUGUACUUGCAACCAUAGAGGAGUUUCUCAACCAAUUUCCAAACGGAAGCAAGAGAAGCAGCAGCAGCGGCGGCAGUAACGAGCAAAAUGAGGCCGUGAAGAAGCGAAGGGGCUUCCCCGCCAUUCACACGUCUGGUAACGGCAAUGACUUUGAAGAACGCACAGUUCAGUCCAAGAAACACACGGGAAAGACACGAAACGGCAAGCAGGGAAUACCUGAUGCUGCAAGCGUGAUCCAAGACGUCCGCUACAUAGAUGUUGACUUGGACGGAUGCGAGGAGGUGGAUGAGCUGUGCAGCAGCGUCCAACAGCCUCUGGCCUCUGGUAGGGUUUUGCCCAAGUGGACAGCCGGUGGUAACGCCACCACACCUAAUAUAUUUGAAGAAUUUAAAUACACCAACUAG